GGGGCUGAGUAGGGCCCUAAUUUGUGAAGACUGUAUAAGUUGUGGAGAUUUGACGAGCGGAGCAUGCAUAAUAUUGUUAGGAGAUCGGUCUUAAGCCGACCCAUUGGAGUAGCCCGAGUUUGGGCGAGAUGAGACUCCAACGUUGGAUGAAACUCCGCUUAGCAGUAUGUAGAUAAAAUUUGACAGGGGGGGCAUCGAGUUAGAUGUACCUCUUGCGUUCUUAGAGUCGUGCUCCACAUGGUGGAGUUGGUUGCUUCCUUUCCUCGUCGACUUCCGGAGUCAUUUUUGACUUGUAAGGGGGCUCGGGCUUCUCGCGGACCCGACGACGCCCGCCGAAGUUGAGAGGAUCUGGGGAGGUUUUAUUGAUUUGUAACUCCUUUCGAGGUCAAGGGAGCUUGAGACCCUAUGGUCGGACCUCGGGGGCGCCCCAACCUUGGUCGAGGAGUCUUGUGUCAGGUCGGCGGGUUUGAGUACGCUUUGCCGACCUGUGGUGCAUCCCGAGGUCGAGGGAGUUUGGGACUCUACGGUCGACCCUCGGGGCAUCCCGACCUUAGUCGAGGGAUCGUUCGUCAGGUCGAUGGGUCUGGGCACGCGCUACCGACCUGCGACGCUUCCCG
rnacentral:lncRNA from 1 species